rnacentral:SRP_RNA from 1 species
GUUGGGCGUGGUGGCGGGCGCCUGUAAUCCCAGCUCCUUGGGAGGCUGAGUCAGGAGAAUCACUUGAACCUGGGAGGUGGAGGUUGCAGUGAGCCAAGAUUGCACCACUGCACUCCAGCCUAGGUGACAGAGUGAGAUUCUGUCUCAA